rnacentral:lncRNA from 1 species
UUUGACUACACACAACACUGUUUAUUGGUUUAUUAGUAACUUUAAUUAAGCACGGAGACAUUUAUUAGCUGGAGAAGAGCGGUUUUCCAAUGAGUUUGAUGGAGAUGGUAAAGUAUGGUAUGAGAUUUUAUAGAAACAUUUGGAGUCAUCCGUAGAACUCAUGAACCAUAACCGACAAACCGAUGAACAUCUGAAUCACACAUUCCUUGUCGACCAAGUAUACAUCUUAUUUCUCAUCGUUGAAACGUUUUCACGAGACUCCAUCCACAAACAUCAUACGAGAGAUGUGUUUAGGACUUUCUAAGGGUUAUGGUGUGUUUCCUUUUCUACGUAAAUUAGGGUUUAGAGUUUUAGUGUUUUGGCCCUUUUUUUUUUUUUUUUUUAGGUUUGAUUAUAUACAAGGGUCGAUCUCUUAUGAUCAAAUUAGGGUUUUGAGUAACUAUGGAGCCAAAAGAAAAGAAGAAGAGGAAGACAAACUGCAAAAAAAGCAGAAUACAAUCGAUUCCUACAGACCUAACCAUAGAGAUACUCUCAAGGCUGCCUGAGAAAUCUGUGGCUAGGUUUAGUUGUGUGUCCAAGCUUUGGUCAUCAAUCACCUCGGACCCAUCUUUUCCACGGUCGCGCCUUCUACUCUGCUUCCAAAAACAUAAUGACUUGUUUGUUUCAUCUAUUCCACAUCAUAAUCCGAACUCGAACAGGUCCUACUCUUCUUCUCUGUCUUUUGAUCAUCAUCAUAUGACGAAACUCCCACUACAUUUUGAUCGCUACCAAUCCACAUCUGGCUUGAUCUGCUUUGUUUUAAAUAAUCCUAUAGUUUGGAACCCUAGCACGAGACAGUCCAUAACUUUACCAGCUAUACCCACGCCAUGUAAGGACUGGAACAAAGUAGAACUCUUUUUAGGGUAUGAUCCCAUUGAAGGUAAACACAAACUAGUGUGCGUUCCCUACAAAAGGACUUGUUAUGUGUGCCGAGUUUUUACAUUGGGAUCAUCUCAAGAAUCAUGGAGAACGGUCAAAACUAAUUGUCGGCAUCGUCCUACCGGUUAUACCUAUGGGCAAUGCAUCGAGGGUGUGAUAUAUUAUCUAGCAUCUAGUCUUGAGGGGGACGAUAGAGUUGUAAUGAGCUUCGAUGUCAGAUCUGAAAAGUUUGAUAUGAUAAGACUACCUUCGAACUCUGACUGGGACGUGCUGAUAACAUAUAAGGGAAGGUUGGGUUUAUGUAGGGAAAUACAUUAUGGAAUAACGCAUAUAAGAUUAUGGAUUUUGAAGGAUGCAGAGAAACACAACUGGUCGGGACAAGACUUUCUUUUACCUUUUGGUGACUUUUUUUUUGCCAAAAAGUGAAUUCAUAUAAUAUAUGCGCGAGUUUGUAAAUUUACAAAAAGGUUAGAGCUUAAGCAGGAUCAGCCUUGGCAAAAAAGAUAAAACAAGGUGAGCCUGCACAUGAAUUGGUUAAACUAACAACCAAUUACUCAAAUCUCAGCCACGACUGCAUUAAACCGUUGAAACGUUUGUCUUUCCUAUGGCCGAGGAUAACAUCUCUGAUGAAGCGAUCAAUUUGCUUGCAUAUUAUUGCUGAAGUAGAGGAUGUACUGGCGUGGAGUCUGUUGUUCCGCUCCCUCCAGAUGCUGUAGAUAACGGCUUGCGAAGCAAGGCAUUUGAGGGUCCUAGAGGAAAUCGUGUUCCUAAUGCUUAUCCAAUCCGAGAAGGCUGUCCAGGUGUGGAAGUGCAGACCACUGUGGCCUAGCCUUGUCAGUAUACGCUCCCAGAUUUGCUCACUUACUUCACAUCGCAAGAAGAGGUGGUCCCUGUUUUCAAUGAAAGAAUCACAAAGACAGCAUGUUGUCGGGGUGUUCAUACCCCAACUGGCAAGACGAGCUCUCGUAGGGAGACGGUCUUGGCUUGCAACCCAAAAUGUAAACGCAUGUCUCGGGACAGCACCACUGAACCAAACGUUACGUGUCCAAGCUUGGGUCUGUCCCCUGUUUCUGAUACCCUCCCAAGCAAUUUUAAUUUGAAAAGUAUUAAACUCCUCUCCCUGCAAAGACCAGACAUAACAAUCUUCCACAGACGACAAACGAGGAUUUUCGAUGGUUGUAAGAUAGGUCUGCAAUACUUCUGCUUCAUUUGAACGUGCCCCCCUCAUGAUCCACCCAGAGCUGGUACAAGUAUCAGAUACUGUUGCAGAGAUAGGAAUUUGGAGCUGGCUUGGCCCCCUUUCACCAAAGUAAGUCAAGAGGGAACCAUAAGGGGUCCAAUUAUCACUCCAAAACCUGAUUUUUUCACCAUUACCGAGCUUGGCUUUGAUGAAUUGAGAGGCCAAACCCCGCAGGCGCAAGAUAGCCUUCCAUGUCCAAGAAGAGGCCUGAUUCUCAUCAAUCCUCCACAAACAAUUCUCUUGCAGCCUGUAGCAUCGAAUCCAACUUGCCCAGAGAGAAUCAGAGGGGACAAGAAGGCGCCAUAUAAGCUUUAGACACAAAGUUUUGUUCCACAAACCAAAGUCCCGAAAUCCCAGACCACCCUCAGCUUUGGGAAGACAGACAGUACUCCAAGAAACCUUAGCCAAAUACCGAGAGUUAGUUUUACCUCCCCACAGGAAACAUGAGCACAUCCCUUCAAUCUUUUUUAUACAUCCUUUGGGGAGAAUAAAAGCUGACGUCCAGAAAUUUAUAGAGCCAUAGAUAACUGAGGCAAUGAGCUCUUUCCGACCUGCAAAAGAUAAAGCCUUCGACGACCACAUAUCAAAACAUCUUGCAAUCUUGUCUAGCAAAGGUCGGUAAUCUGUGAUCCUGAGUUUCCUGUGCAUUAGUGGCAGGUCCAAAUAUCUUAUUGGAAGUGAACCAAUGUUGUAACCAAGAGCCGAGAGCUCCAUAGUUUCUGCUUGGUUCAGUCCCGCCGUAAAAAGCUCUGUUUUAGCCGCAUUCAUUCUCAGUCCAGACCAAUCUGCAAACGCUUCUAAUGUUUCAGUGAUAUUGGUUAAGGAUUCCUUACAUCCAUCAAAGAAGAUCAUUAUGUCGUCCGCAAAAGCUAGGUGGGUUAAAGAAAGAUCUGUUGUGUACGGGUGAUAACCAAUGCUCCCAUCAAAGUAUUUGACUCUCAGCAUCUGGGAGAAAACCUCUAAAGCCAGGACAAAUAGAUAGGGUGAUAGGGGAUCCCCUUGGCGUAGACCUCUAGAACCUUUUGGUGACUUAGAUGCUUGGAGUUUCAAACUAAAAGGUUUUACUCAUGCUGGUGAGUUUAUUUAUGUACCGGAAAUGACUAGCCAAUCGUCUUAUAUUUUAUUAUGUGAUCCGGUGAGAAACAGCUGGAGAAAAUUUGAAUUUAAAGGAAUAGCAGACGAGGUAUCUGUCCAUAAUGGAGUUGUUGAAGAAGAAGAGGAAAAACAAGAUGAUGAACACCGACCUAUGUAUGCGCUCCUUGCUUUUCCGAAUCACAUUGAUAGUCAAAUAUCUUAGUAACAAUUUGCUGCUGUUUUCUUUUUCCUUUGAAUGAUAUUCUUAUGCCAACUUUAUGAUUUUCUUAUAAUAUAUUUUUCUGAGCCUCUACUUUGAUUCUAUAUAUCCCGUUUCAUUACCAGUUCAUUGUGAUUCACAUUGAUAGUCAAGUGUCUUUGUUACAAUCUGCUUUUCCGUUUUUCCUUGGAAUGACACUCGUAUGCAACUUCAUGAUUUUUAUAAAUAUUUUUUUUUGGAGUCUUUACUUUGAUUCUAUCCCAUUUCAUUACCAGUUCUCUGUAUGUAAAAGAGAGUAUAAACACGAAUUGCUUUAAGUGACAUUAUGUUGAAUCUCUUAACAUUUGCACCCAAAAAAAAACAUUAUGUUGACACCUUUUUUAAGUUUGAACCUCAAGCUUUUAGAUGUCAUACAAACCCGAUCACCUCACCUCAUAUAUGAACCUAACAUGGUAAGCAUAUAGCCUAUUGAAGUAAGCUUGAGAUAGCUUGAGAUAGAAGCUAUCAUAAUCCUACUGAGAUUGAGUUUACUAAAAGGAUUAAGAAAUAUUGAGUUGUGUUAUACCUAAUGAGUUUAGGAUAAUUAGAUAGCUAUAUAAGGAUAUGCAUAGAUGUUGCAUAACGUGUGAGAAAUAUGAUUGUGUUAGAGAGCUUCCUUAAGAGAGGUUAAUAAGAACUGUUCUUAUUGAGAGAGUUUGCAAUCGUGAUCCUGAGACAGUUUGAGAACUAUAUUUGGUAUCAGAGCCACUAAAGAGAAACAUCAUGAGUGAUAUUGUGGCAAUUGCGGAAUGCCCUAAAGAGAGAGGAGGCUCCUCGACCUUCCAGUGUCCCAUGCUUAACGCGACCAACUAUACCGUUUGGUCCAUCCGAAUGAAGAUUGCAUUACAAGAUCAUAAGGUUUGGGAGGUUAUUGAAGAAGAUACCGAGAAGAACGAUGUAGCCACGGCUUUAUUAUUCCAAUCCAUACCCGAAACCCUGGUUUUGCAAGUCGGGGAUUUGGAUACAUCUAAAUAGGUGUGGGAAGCCAUUAAAACCAGACAUAUGGGAGCAGAGCGAGAGUUAAAGAAGCGAGACUGCAAAAAUUAAUGGCAAGUUCGAUCGUCUUAAGAUGAAAGAGACCGAGAGCAUAGAUUGACUUUAAUGGGAAACUAUCUGAAAUCUCAUCAAAGUCAGCGGCUUUAGGAUCCAACAUAGACGGACCGAAACUUGUCAAGAAGUUUUUGAAAAGCCUGUCUCGGAAGAAAUAUAUCCAUAUAGUAGCUUCUCUAGAACAUGUAUUAGACCUUAACACGACAACCUUUGAAGAGAUUGUUGGCCGUUUGAAGGCGUAUGAAGAACGCAUUACAGAAGAUGAAGAAACUAGGGACGAUCAAUCAAAGUUGAUGUAUGCAAAUAUGGAAGCUCAAUCUGGUCAGUCGAAUAAAAGCUAUGGACAACAAAACCGAGACUAUAAUGGAGAUUGGAGAUACAGAGGCCGUGGAGGUGGACGUUUCUACUGUAGAGGAAGAGGUAGAGGAAGAUAUUAUGGAGGAAAAGACACACGAGAUGCAUCUAAAAUCACAUGUUUUAGAUGUGACAAAGUAGGUCACUUCGUUGCAUCAUGUCCAGAGCUUAAACUUAAACUACAAGAAGCACAAGAGGACAACACUGAGACACAAGAAGCCGACGAUGGAGAUGGUAAAGUAUUGGUAUGCGAUAUGAAGAAACAUUUGGAAACAACUCUCUGCUCAGUUCUCGUGUUUCUUAUGGUACAACUAUCGUGUCUUAGCUUGAACACCUGAAUCUGAUAUUCAUUUCUCGUCCAAGUAGAUAUAGUUUUGCAGUCAUCCGUAGAACUCAUAACCCAUAACCGAGAAAGCGAUGAACAUCAGAAUCUCACAUUCCUUGUCGACCAAGUAUACAUCUGAUUUUUCAUUGUUGAAACGUUUUCAAGAGGCUCCAUCCACAAACAUUAUUCGAGAUAUGAGUUUAAGACUGUCUAAGGUUAUUUAUAUAUAUAUACACACUACUAAUACAAGGGUCUCUUAUUAUCAAAUUAGGGUUUUGAGCAAAUAUGGAGCUAAAAGAAAAGAAGAAGAAAACAAACUACAAAAAAAGAAGAAUACAAUACAUUCCUACCGACCUAACCAUAGAGAUACUCUCAAGGCUGCCUGAGAAAUCUGUUGCGAGGUUUAGUUGUGUGUCCAAGCUUUGGUUAUCAAUCACCACCGACCCAUCUUUCCCACGGCCGCGCCUUGUACUCUGUUUCCAAAACUAUUACGACAGCACACUCAGAACUCCACCAGGUCCUACUCUUCUUCUCUGUCUAUUGAUUAUCAUCAUACGAUGAAAAUCCCACUAGAUUUUAUUCACUACCCAUCUACGGAAUCUGUCCAUGGCGUGAUCUGCUUUGAAUUAAAAAAAGCCCAUAGUAUGGAACCCUAGCACGAGAAAGUUCAUAACUUUACCAACUAUACCAAGGCCCUGUAAGGACUGGAAAAAGACAACACUGCUGUUAGGGUAUGAUCCCGUUGAAUGUAAACACAAAGUAGUGUGCAUUCCAUAUAAAAGGAUUUGUUACGUGUGCCGAAUUUUUACACUGGGAUCAGCUCAGGAAUCAUGGAGAACGAUCAAAGUUAACCAUAAGCAUCAUUCUGGCAUGUAUGCAUAUGGGCGAUGCAUCGAGGGUGUGAUAUAUUAUAUAGCAUAUAAUCGUCAUCAGAGCCGUGGUUAUGUUGUAAUGAGCUUCGAUGUCGGAUCUGAAAAUUUCGAUAUGAUAAAACUACCUUCGGAAUUUUAUGGGGACAAGCUGAUAAUAUAUAAGGGAAGGUUGGCUUAUUUUAGUGAAAUAAUUCACAGAACAAAUUAUAGAAUCAAUCAUAGAAUAUUAUGGAUUUUAGAGGAUGCACAGAAACACAGAUGGUCGAGACAAGACUUUUUUCAACAUUUUGGUGACAUAGAUCGGAGUUUCAAACUAACAGGUCACAUUGAUAGUCAAAUGUCUUUGUAACAAUUUGCUGUUGUUUUUUUUUUUCCUUUGAAUGAUAUUCUUAUGCCAACUUUAUGUUUUUUUUUAUAAUAUAUUUUUCUGAGUCUUUACUUUGACUCUAUCUAUCCCCUUUCAUUACCAGUUCUUUGUAUGUAAAAGAUAAAAGAGAGUAUAAACACGGAUUGCUUAAAGUGAAGAUUAUCUUUUCGUGGAUGAUUAGCAUGAACACAUAAGGAAUGAAUAAUGGUUGAGACUGCCAUUGCACAUUAUAUGUUGCGAAGGACUAAUAUAAUAUUGUUUUGGCUCGACCUAUUGCUGUUCUAGUUUAUUCUGGCUGUGUUUGUUUUCCGAAAAUCAGUAUAGGUGGUUGUCCUCCAAGCCAAGUUGUGGUACAAAUGCAAAGUCAAUUUUCUCUCACAGAGCUCCGGAAGUGCGUUUUCUUCUUCUCAUCUCUUGUAUCCUACUUAUAUUGAUAUAUUUGAACUAUGCACUUAAGUGUGAGUUUUUUUACAUGCCCUAUAUGUGACAAGAUCAAGAUACAAGAGAUGAGAAGAGCAGUAUUGUUUUCACCACCACCACUUCCGGUGGAAGGAUCUGACUCUUGAACAUUUGUUGCAGCUCGGUGGCCCAUCUUUCUCUGUGUAUGCUCUGUUUUCUCAUCCGGCUCCGUUCAACUUCAUAGGUCCCAGUGGCCUUCUAAUCAAGGAGGCACUGCACCAAAGUGGUUUAUUACUGCUUUUGCUGUUGCUUCAUUGGUCCCAGUACCAGUCCACAUUUUUCUCUGAGCCUCAUACUGAUUUAAUAAUACAUUUUCUGUUAUUACAUUGAGUUGUUAUACAAUGCAUCUGCAUAUAAUGUUUCCAAGAUUCUUAUUUGUAACCUACGUUCGCAGGGCAGUUCAUGUCCCCAUAUGAUCCAGAUGAAGGUUGGAAUGUACAGCGCUGGGAAUCAAGUGGAAUUUUGGUGGACAGGUCCCCACCCAAACUGUCCGGGUAUCUGUUGGAAUUGUAUCCUUAGAAGAAGAAGAAGAAGCACAGGAAACGAAGGUGCAAAAGAAAAGAAGAAGACUUGAACCGCAAGAAACAAAUAAUGAAGAAGAAGCGGGAAGAACAAGGAGGAAGAAAGUCAAAGAAGAACUAGAAGUUACACAAGAAGAAGAAUAAGAGGAACUAGUUGGUUUGUAAGCUAACUAAGUUAAGUUGAAGUUGUUAAGAGUUGUAGUUCUGCUCAUGGUGGUGAAAUUGCGGUUGCUUUUCUUGGUGGUGGAGUUCAUAUCUUUUUCACCCGUUGAAAACUAUCAAAUAAAUGUCGGUUGGGCAAUCUCUGCACCCGCAUUUUCUCCAACGAGCUGUUGCUCGGCUUCUGUAUGGCAUGAUGCUGCCAAGGACUGUGCAAUGUUGAUAAUCAUUUGUGUUCUUCCGUGGGAGCGGGCGACUGCUAGGACGUAUGUAUGUCAUCUCUAGUGGAGUCUUUUGGUCGGAGUUGAUUGGUGGGAUGCAGUUGGCUGUACUGUACACAGAGUGCUGCAGAGGGUGGCAUUGGUAUAAUUUGUGGUGCUUAUAAGUUUUCUUGAUUUCAUUGCUUUUUAAUAUUUUCACUCAGAAGUAAAAAAAACACUUCAGAUUUCUGAGAGCAGGAUAGGAUGUUGUGGUGUUGAAAACAAGCAGGUUGGAGAUGAAGACCCCUGCCGACAAGGACAAGCUCUGUCUUGUAUUCUUACAAGCGGCCUUCAGAAAGCCCCGUUACUAGUCUGAUUCAGUGAUAAAGCAAUAUCACACCACUCAUUCACUCUCUUAUAUAUUGGCUUAUUAUAUAAUAUAAUCUGGCCCAGCGCCGGCCUUAUAUAUAUACAAGGGUUUCUUAUAAUCAAAUUAGGGUUUUGAGUGAAAUAUGGAGCCGAAAGAAAAGAAGCAGAGAAUAACAAAAUACGAAAAAAGAAUACAAUACAUUCCUACAGACCUAACCAUAGAGAUACUCUCAAGGCUGCCUGAGAAAUCUGUGGCUAGGUUUAG